CUUUCUCUCUCUCUGCCCCUCUCCCUACUCAAAGUGAAUAAAUAUUAAAAAAUUAAUUGUAGGGUUAAGAGCAAUAGUGUAGGCUUCAUGACAGCCUAUAUAAUUAUACAGAUGUCAUGUCUUUGUUUCCCUUAAAAUUCUGUCAUUCUUUGGAACAUAAUUUAUAUUCUUGGCCCAGAGUAUUUGAUGAAAUGAAUUUUGGGGACUCCGUAUCCAGAGAUACAGGAGUGCACUCAAGAAAUUAGGUGGGUUUUUUAUUAAAAAAAUAUCUUCUAGGUAUUUCUUUGCUUCUUUCCACUGACCUAGGAAGCAGGUUCAUUACGAGUAUUACCAAACAUGCUGUUUCCAAGGUUACGUAAAGUAAUGGCCCUGGGGGACUGACCUGUGCCACCGCUUUUGUGGAUUUGUAGAACUCACUUACCUUUGGCAUUUCCCUCAGCAAGUCCCGGGACAAAACCAGGAAUCUUCAGAAAUGAGAGCCGUGAGCAAACAAGUUUUAAGAGUUGAGUGAAAUUGUCUUCCCAAUUUGUUUAUACCUCAGCUAAACCGAGACCAUGCAGUAGGAAAUUACUUAAAAUGCUGAUCCUGAAGACGGAAGGGUAGAGUGAAGUGACAGUUUUGCUUCUUGGGGGACGUUUUAGGUGAACUGUUCUACAUCCCGAGAGAAGAUGUCAUUGCUGUAGGCUGAUUUGUAAUGAGGAACAUUUGAUUUUUUGCACACACACAGGGCAUGUAGCUUCCAUUCAGAUGCCCCAACUACAGAGGGGAAGGGUGACCAGAUAACUUAUCCACAGGCCUCAGACCAAAAAAUAAAAAAAUUUGGCAGCCAGACCUAGUUGCUUACUAGGGGACCCAGCAUCUCAUGUGUCGUGCUGACGUGUGCCCAUUGCUCUCAGGAAUCUGUUCUGGGUUAUCGGUGUCAGUGUGAGACCCGAGGGAACUUGCUAAUGACCCAUUUUCUUCAGUCGAGGCAUAUUCCUACUGCCACCUUUUAUUUUUAUUCUGCAGCGAGGCAGGAUUCAUGCCAAAAGCUUUGGUGAACCAAGUACUUUAAAUUCAGCCUUUGAAACUGUCCCAGUUCCCUUGAGCAGAGAGAACCCCGACCACAGCCGAACUGACCCUCUCCCAGCCGCCCUGUUUGCCUGUGACUCUGCUCCUGCGAGGUCCCAUUCAGCAUUUCCUGUGGGACCGCGUUUCCACUUUUACUGUUUCGGCUAGAACCAGUGGAAUGAAGCUUGUUUUUACAUAAACCCGAUUUGAUGCCCCUGCACAUAAACAACGUGAUUGACUUGUGAACAUCUUCCAAGAUGCGGAAGGGUAAUAUUCAGAGAAAAGCACCUCGACAAAUUUUACUAGACCUAAAACAUUUCUGCCUCGCGUCCGAGGACAAAACCAGAUGGGAUAUAAAAGAAAACGCCAGUGAAGGCUUUGAGGGUAAAGAGUUGCUGUCGUCUGGCCCCAUAAGGUCCAGCGAAAACCCAAUCCACAAGGCAUAUCCCUGUCCUCACCUGUAAGCUUCGUCUAAGGACAUGUUCAUCCUCUUCAUGAUGUAGGCGAUGGCGAUGGUGGCUGAGCGAGAGACGCCAGCUAAGCAGUGUACCAGGACACAUCCGUUGCAGGCUUUUGCUUUCUCUGCAGGAGUCAAAUUCGAGAAGGGUCACCGUGAACAACUUUGUUCAACAGUGAGAUCUUGUUGCCAUUUGCUUACUUGCAUCUGAUAACUCAAAGUAAAUCUCCUGUAUUCAUAA